GGAAGUAAAAGUCGUAACAAGGUUUCCGUAGGUGAACCUGCGGAAGGAUCAUUACUGAUUUAGCGAACCGAGCGUUAGCGAGGCUUUGCGAUCAACUUGUAUUUAAAGCCCACUCUUCAAUGUAUAAAAUUUGUAUUAAUGAUAAAUUAAAAGAUCACUUUCAACAACGGAUCUCUUGGCUCUCGCAUCGAUGAAGAGCGUAGCGAAGUGCGAUAAGUAAUGUGAAUUGCAGUAUUCCGUGAAUCAUCGAACCUUUGAACGCAUAUUGCACUUUCUGGUAUUCCGGAAAGUAUGCCUGUUUGAGGGUCAGUUAAAUAAAAAUCGGUGUUGUUGCCGCUUUCCGUGGUGACGCGUCGGAAUUGAGUCGUCUUCGGUUAAGUGACUUAAAAUUUUAUAUGAUUUUCGAACGUAUUUAAAUUUAUUUGAACGUUUGAUAUCGAAUGCUUAUUAGGUUCGGUCAUCCUCACGACUCGCGCCUAUAAUUUUUCAUUAAAUGACCUCAAAUCAGGUAAGAAUACCCGCUGAACUUAAGCAUAUCAAUAAGCGGAGGA
rnacentral:rRNA from 1 species